rnacentral:SRP_RNA from 1 species
AGCAGGCCCAGAUGCAUGCCUGUAAUUCCUGCUACUGGGAAGUCUCAGACUGGAGGCACUCUUGAGCUUGUAAGUUCUGAGCUGCAGUAAACUACACUGAUCAAGUGCCAGCACUAAGUCUAGCAUCAAUAUGGUGAGUCCCUUGCACUGGGGGUUUCCAGGAUGCCUAAGGAGGGACAAUCCAGCCCAGGUCAGAAAGGAUGAAAGUUAAAGCUCACAUGCCAAUCAUUAGUGGGGUGGGGCCUUUGAGUAGCCCCUGUACUUUCAGCCUGAGACAGAGAGACACAGUCUUU